ACGCUCGACACCUACGGGAGGCAGCAGUUGGGAAUAUUGGACAAUGGAGGAAACUCUGAUCCAGUGACGCCGCGUGAAGGAAGAAGGUCUUCGGAUUGUAAACUUAUUUUGUCAGGGAAGAAAAAAUGACUGUACCUGAAGAAAAAGCACCGGCUAACUACGUGCCAGGAGCCGCGGUAAUCUGAGCGGGCUGCAAGGC
rnacentral:rRNA from 1 species